GCGAGCGAUCACGACGGUUUGGGGCUUUAGGAGUACUCAAAUCGUAUUUGUUUUUUUGAAACUCGGGUUUGAACUUUCGAUAUCUGGGAUGAAAACAGGUAGGCAACACCAUUAGACUACGGUAGACAGGUACUAGAUUUGUCAUCAUUGAGUUAUUUUACAUAACACUUAUAAUAUCUGAAUUUCAAAAAACUAUAAUUUCGAAACUAAGUAAGUCC